UCAAAAUCUCCCCCUCCUCGUCCUUUUUAUGAUGAUCCCUCUGGCAUCUUGGAUUCCUUCAAUUAAUUCCUUGCAAAAGCCAGUGGAGUUCCAAUCUCUGGUUUGAAAUGAUCUGCCUCUUGAAAUGGUGCCUGGCAGCCUGUGGACACGCCAGCCUCAGGCACGGUGGGACCCAGUGACCACGCAGCUUCUGGAGACAGAACGCCUGUGUAGUGGGGUGCAGGCGUCACAGAGCGCUCUCGGCAGGCACUUUCCCAAGCCAAGAGAAGAAAAGACCUAGGAAAAGAUUGCAAUCCAGCCUGGCAGUGUGGAUGGCCAUGUCCUGUCUGAGCUUGAGUUGAAAUCCAGUAGGUUAUAAUCUUCUUAAUCCUGUCCCCUAAGGAGUCAAUAGCCCAGAGGGGUACUCUUGCCCUAAUUUGCAUAGCUUCCAAUUUUUGGCUGCUUCGAAUGCCAAAGCAGAAGGGUACAUAUGCAGAGAAAGACAGAUCAUAUGAUAUCGCUUACAUGUGGAAUCUGAAAAGAUCAUACAAAUGAACUUACAAAACUGAGACAGAUGCACAGACUUUGAAAACAAACUUAUGGAUGCAUUCUUUUUGAAUGUACACCCAGGCACUGUGUCUGGGAGCUGCAGUCCUGAAAUUAAAUGGAAGAUAUUGGGAUCCAGCCUGGAGUUUGGAUGAAAGAAUAUUCAGAUGGCAUCUGUCUCUGAGCCACAGUUCACAGCCUCAGAAAGUGGCGUGUGAGUGAGUGAAAGUUGCUCAGUUGUGUCUGACUCUUUGCAACCCUAUGGACUAUACAAUCCACCUAAUUCUCCAAGCCAGAAUUCUGGAGUGGGUAGCCUUUCCCUUCUUGAGGGGAUCUACCCAAUCUAUGGAUCAAAUCCAGGUCUCCCGCACUGCAGGCAGAUUCUUUACUAGCUGAGCCACAAGGGAAGCCCAGGAAGUGGAGUGGCUAUAGCAAUAAGGUUCAGAGAAGUUAAAAAAGAAAAGGGAAAACAGCUAUCAUUUAUCAAGCACAGGAAGUUUGGGGUUCUGUCUCAGACAUUUUAUACAUUUUAUUUUGACCAUCAUGAAAAAAAAAGAAAAAGAUGUAAAAUAAGGAUAGUUCACCUUCUGUUAGAGAUGAGCAUGUAAAGACUUUGCAUUCCGGGUCACAUAGCAAAAAUACAGAACUACUUUGAAAUCCAAUACAGAUCAAUGUAAAGGGGAAAGAAGUUGGAAAGAGUUUCCUGGUUGAAAUGGUGGUGGUUUAACUCAGAUGACCAUUAUAUCUACUACUGUGGGCAAGAAUCCCUUACAAGAAAUGGAGUAGCCCUCAU
rnacentral:lncRNA from 1 species